rnacentral:ncRNA from 1 species
AAUACGAAACGGCAAAACCAUCGAAAGUUGGUGACGCAAAGCUAUAGGGGCUUCCUUCAUCUAGAAGAAGCCAGCCAGUUACCGAA